AAAAAACUGUAACAAACCAAAAAAAAAAUCCCUAAAUAAAAGAGGAAAAAACUGCAACAACACAAGGCAGUUUGAUAAAAUCCUUCGUUCUUCCACUUCUCCAUCUUAUUCUCACAACUCCCCCCUUCAAUUCUAAAAGCACCACAAAAUAGCCAAAACUCAAAUCAGAAUGUCUAUUAUUCAACCAAGAUAAGGUAAUUACAAAUGAUUUGUUCAUAACAAUCCUUAUACAGUUUAAUUUGAAAUAACGAUUCUUUUCUCGGUGUGAAUUUUAUAUAGGGUCUUCACAAGCAUUGCAAUCAGCAAUUGUUAUUUCUCUCUCACACAAUUCUUUCUGUCAGUAAUAAUAUUUGCUAACCCAAAUUCAUUGAAUUGAUAGCGAUUUUUGUGUGUAAUUUUACAAGACAAGACUAGAGAGAAAGUACCCGACCAAGUAUCUCAUACAAAUAUCAUCAAGAAAGGCACUUGGAAGGUGAAGAGAAAUAAACUCCAGUGUGGCAAACUACUGGUCAGGCACUUCCCCCUGACAUGUACACACAUAAAAUUUGGUUCUUGAAUGGGCGGUGAUCGAGAUGGAAAUCCUAAUGUGACUGCCAAGCCAAAUGGACGCAAACGAGUCAUAUAGAUAGUAUUCUCAAAGCUUGGAUACAAAACCUUCGCUUAGAUGUUACCUCCACCGAUGCAAGAAUUCAAUCCGGAUCAUUCUUAUACUGUUAGCUAUGUGCUGCAGGUCGACUGGACUGAAGAGGGCAUGUGUUUAACCAAGUUCUAUGAAGGCAAAUUCCAUAAUUGAAACACCAGAGAUUUUAUUUACUACCUUUGUUAUUGUAUUGUUACAUUGUGAAUAUAUUUUUCCUCGGUAAAUUUUGUAAAUAAUUUUUCUAUGAAUUAAUACUAGAUGUAAUUACGCAACUAAUUUAAUUCCAAUAACGAUUUCAGUUGUAUAUA